CAUAAUCUCACAUCAUCAUGAUAACAACUUGAUGAUAUAAUGGAUUUGCAAUCAGAUACAUCCUACAAGGAAAGUACAUGCUUUCUAAAACAUUUAAAGGUAAACUGAAAGAAACUCAAUUCAAUUAUUUUCAUCCCUAAUUAUCUCUUUGCUUCUCACAUUAUUCAAGAAAAAAAUAUAUAUCCGUAGGCUCGAGUAGAGACGAG
rnacentral:misc_RNA from 1 species